rnacentral:lncRNA from 1 species
CUGAAGGGGAAAAGGGAGGCAACAGAGGAGGGGAUGCUGGGAUGCUGGCCCUCCGGCCGGUCCCGCAGGAAGGGCCGUUAACAUGUCACAUGGGGUGACAGGAGAGGACAGACUCGGUGGGAACUUUUUUUUUACUUAAUAGUAAAACAUUGAGUCCUUUGCUCCGUCUGGCCGCGUCCCGGUGCUCAGGAGCCGUGUUGGACGGCUCAGCCGGAGGCCUUUUCCAUCCCCUGGAAACUUCUGUCGGACGGGCUGCCCUGGGAACGCAGCUGUAUUUGUCCCCCACUCGCGGCUGAGUCGCGCCAGGCUGCUUGAGUCCCGGCUUGAGAAUCAGGGGUCCAGGUGCACCUGCAUUCAGAGGGUGGGGAAACUGAGGCACGGGCUCUCCGGGAGAAGGGGGCUUCCCCUGCCGGCCCGGGUUGUUCUCUGGGGCCGCCCUCGGCCUCCACGAGGGCUGUCUGGCAUUUCCUGUCUUCUAACUAAAGCAGGUAAUAAAAAAAGUGGUUUUGAACCGAACGCCGGAGUUUCGGGGUCUUUGUGACCGCAGGCUGCCCCCGCCCGGGGCAGGGGACCAGGCAGAGCGGAGGGGACCUGGACGUGUCUCUGGGAGGCCCCGAAGCUGUGCUACCCCCCCGGGUGUGCGGUUUUUAGACGUGAGGUCGUGUCCACACCUUCCUCGCCUCUGCCGCCCCCGACUCCCCAGACCCCCCAGGCCCCUCCGAGAGGGCCGAGGACGGCGAGGCCGGGCGGGAGCAGCUCUACCAGCAGAGCCGGGCCUACGUGGCCACGAACCAGCGGCUGCAGCGGGCCGGUGACGGGCUGAAGGCGCAGUGCGAGGGCCUGCGGCGGGCGGGCGCGGAGCUGCAGGCGGAUGUCGGCCACGUGAAACAGGUGGCGCUGCGGGGGGCUGCGGCCGCCUCCUUGGGCUGACCUGGCCUCCGGCUCUCUGGGGACAGCCCCCACGGCUCGCCGGAACCUGCCGCCCUCCCCAGGACACCUGAGUGGCCGCCCCUCGGACAUGGGCCCUGAGCCCCAGAAGCGGAUGCCAGGCUUUCUGUUCUGUGGCCUGGGCACACCCUGGUCCCCGGAGAAGCCAAGGGACAGAGCCCGCGGGGGCUGUGGGUGCAGCAGGGACGGCUCAGUGUGUGGCGGGUGCACCUGCCUUGGCGGCACAGACCCUCCCCAGGGUCGGGUCCGGGACCCUGCAGAUGCGCUCCCCCCAGGGCUUCCCUCCUGGGACCCUGAUCACCGUCGAGCCCAGACUGCACUUCUCGGGGGUCCCAGCACCGAGGGCCGGUCUGUCCAUUCUCCUCCCGUCCUCUGUGACCCUGCUUCCCCGUCAUCCCAUUAAACUGAGCUGGCAGGACCACC